AUUGAACGCUGGCGGCAUGCUUUACACAUGCAAGUCGAACGGCAGCGCGGGCUUCGGCCUGGCGGCGAGUGGCGAACGGGUGAGUAAUGCAUCGGAACGUGCCCAGUAGUGGGGGAUAGCCCGGCGAAAGCCGGAUUAAUACCGCAUACGACCUGAGGGUGAAAGCGGGGGACCGAAAAGCAUCGCGCUAUUGGAGCGGCCGAUGUCGGAUUAGCUAGUUGGUGGGGUAAAGGCUUACCAAGGCGACGAUCCGUAGCUGGUCUGAGAGGACGACCAGCCACACUGGGACUGAGACACGGCCCAGACUCCUACGGGAGGCAGCAGUGGGGAAUUUUGGGCAAUGGGGGCAACCCUGAUCCAGCCAUGCCGCGUGCGGGAAGAAGGCCUUCGGGUUGUAAACCGCUUUUGUUCGGGAAGAAAUCCUCUGGGCUAAUACCCCGGGGGAUGACGGUACCGUAAGAAUAAGCACCGGCUAACUACGUG
rnacentral:rRNA from 1 species